rnacentral:rRNA from 1 species
UACGGAGGGAGCUAGCGUUGUUCGGAAAUACUGGGCGUAAAGCGUGCGCAGGCGGUUUGUUAAGUCCGCUGUGAAAUCCCCGAGCUCAACUUGGGAAUUGCAGUGGAUACUGGCAAGCUGGAGUAUGGUAGAGGAAGGUGGAAUUCCCGGUGUAGCAGUGAAAUGCGUAGAGAUCGGGAGGAACACCAGUGGCGAAGGCGGCCUUCUGGACCAAUACUGACGCUCAUGCACGAAAGCGUGGGGAGCAAACAGG